AUUGAACGCUGGCGGCAGGCCUAACACAUGCAAGUCGAACGAGCGGCGGACGGGUGAGUAAUGUCUGGGAAACUGCCCGAUGGAGGGGGAUAACUACUGGAAACGGUAGCUAAUACCGCAUACCAUCGGAUGUACCCAGAUGGGAUUAGCUAGUAGGUGGGGUAACGGCUCACCUAGGCGACGAUCGCUAGCUGGUCUGAGAGGAUGACCAGCCACACUGGAACUGAGACACGGUCAAGACUCCUACGGGAGGCAGCAGUGGGGAAUAUUGCACAAUGGGCGCAAGCCUGAUGCAGCCAUGCCGCGUGUAUGAAGAAGGCCUUAGGGUUGUAAAGUACUUUCAGCGAGGAGGCGUUACUCGCAGAAGAAGCACCGGCUAACUCCGUGCCAGCAGCCGCGGUAAUUC
rnacentral:rRNA from 1 species